rnacentral:rRNA from 1 species
UGGGGAAUAUUGCACAAUGGGCGCAAGCCUGAUGCAGCCAUGCCGCGUGUAUGAAGAAGGCCUUCGGGUUGUAAAGUACUUUCAGUCGGGAGGAAGGUGUCAAGGUUAAUAACCUUGGCAAUUGACGUGACCGACAGAAGAAGCACCGGCUAACUCCGUGCCAGCAGCCGCGGUAAUACGGAGGGUGCAAGCGUUAAUCGGAAUUACUGGGCGUAAAGCGCACGCAGGCGGUCUGUCAAGUCGGAUGUGAAAUCCCCGGGCUCAACCUGGGAACUGCAUUCGAAACUGGCAGGCUAGAGUCUUGUAGAGGGGGGUAGAAUUCCAGGUGUAGCGGUGAAAUGCGUAGAGAUCUGGAGGAAUACCGGUGGCGAAGGCGGCCCCCUGGACAAAGACUGACGCUCAGGUGCGAAAGCGUGGGGAGCAAACAGG